rnacentral:sRNA from 1 species
GAUUGCUUCAUAGUAUGGUGUGCUGUUGCCGUCUGCCACACCUGUGUUACAGGGAAAAGGACCAGCGCAGCCUAGACAUAAACACUGCCAAGUGCAUGUUGGGACUGUUAUUAGGAAAAAUAUGGCCCCUUUUUCCAGUUUUUCACCAAUUCUUAGAGCAAUCAAAAUACAAAGUUAUUAAUAAAGACCAGUGGUGCAAUGUCCUAGAGUUUAGCAGAACAAUUAAUCUUGACCUCAGCAACUAUGAUGAAGAUGGAGCAUGGCCAGUUUUGUUGGACGAGUUUGUGGAGUGGUAUAAAGACAAACAGAUGUCCUAGGACUUUAUGCAUAGCAGCGAGAGAGUCACUGUUACCACAGUUUUGUCACCCAUUAGCCAUAAAUUGCUGUUUGUAUCAAAGCGCAUGCUGCUUCUCUUGCACUGUUUCCCUUUCGCAGGGACAUGUUGGUGUUUGCUAUUGAAUUGGCCAGCUCUGCUUGCUGUGUGGCAUUGUUCUCUUGGAAGGCUGCUUUGCAGUUUGUAUUUACACUACAGAUUGGUGAAUUUGCCAACGUCCUCACUGUGAUUAUGUGUAUAUUGCUGUUUAAAUUUUGUAUAUGUGUAUAAAAGGAAAAAGCUUCACCUAGAGAUUAUUUCUGAAAAAUGUAUUGUAAAAAUAAUUUUGUGGCAUUUCUAGUCCCUUUUUUUGAAUGAACCAAUGAUACUUUAUUUGGUCUCCUAUGUAGCAUUUCAGAAAACAAGACAAAACUGUUACCAUGAACAAACAUUGCCAGAAUUAACCUUACUGUUUAAGAGGCCAACUUCUGGAAGGAGGUAGGAGUCAUAACUUUUCAGAGG